UUUUUGUUAAAGAUGCUGCACUCCUAGACGGAGAAGAUGGUAACUUCAUGGUAGAUAGCACAUGAGGAGGAGUCGCAUAUACAGCCUAAAUAUGCAACACUCCUAUAUCGUGAAAGAUGCUUUCAUUGUAGAUCACACAUUAGGACGAGUCACAUAUACAGCCUAAAUAUGUGACAGUCCUAUACCAUGAAGAAUAGUUCCAUUGAAGUUCAAGAGGAUGAUGUCGCAUAUGCUGCACUCCUAGACGGAGAAGAUGGUAACUUCAUGGUAGAUAGCACAUGAGGAGGAGUCGCAUAUACAGCCUAAAUAUGCAACACUCCUAUAUCGUGAAAGAUGCUUUCAUUGUAGAUCACACAUUAGGACGAGUCACAUAUACAGCCUAAAUAUGUGACAGUCCUAUACCAUGAAGAAUAGUUCCAUUGAAGUUCAAGAGGAUGAUGUCGCAUAUGCUGCACUCCUAGACAGAGAAGAUGGUAACUUCAUGGUAGAUAGUACAUGAGGAGGAGUCGCAUAUACAACUCAGAUAUGUUCCACUCCCACACAAUGAAGAUGGUUUCAUGGUAGAUAGAUAGCACAUUGGGAUUAGUAGCAUAUACAGCCUAAAUAUGUUACACUCCUAGACAAUGCAGAUGGUUUCAUGGUAGAUCGAUCGCAUAUGAGGAUCAGUAGCAUAUACAGCCUAAAUAUGUUAACACUCCUCGACAAUGAAGAUGGUUUCAUUGUAGAUAGCACAUUAGGAUGUGUCACAUAUACAGCCUAAAUAUGUAACGCUCCUAUACCAUGAAAGAUGCUUCCAUUGUAGAAAGCACAUUAGGAUGAAUCACAUAUACAGCCUACAUAUGUAACACUCCUAUACCAUGAAAGAUGCUUCCAUUGUAGAUAGCACAUUAGGAUGAGUUCCUGUAUAGAUUGACCGUGUUAACUCGUUUUAGUUAGUUGUUCCUUGACGGCUGGGUCGUCUAUGACAGAGAUUUUGCCAUUAUAUGGUAUUGCACAUUAAAUACAAUGAAAUGCUCAUCAAUUUUAAAUGUUACAAUUUUCUUUCUGUAUUAUACUAUAUAUGCUUAUCCUUGUAUGCAUGAUUAUUAUUUUGAUAAAGAUAAAAUCCGAUGUCUAUGUUUUCGGCAAUAUGAA